ACUUGCAGGCAGCUGGUCAAAAAAGUCUGCGUUCACAUUCAAAUCAAUUGAGCCGAACCAGAACCACAUUUGGUAAUUUACUUUAGUUUGAUAUUUUUCAUGCUAGAAGUGUUGCCAUUGCUUCCUGUCCCGGUUCAAGAAGGAAAAAGCAGGAGGAGGCGCACAGCAUGGCAGAGUCCGUGGUGUCCUUUGUUGUGGAAAGGCUAGGCAACCUUCUAAUCGAAGAAGCAGCGUUUUUACAAGGAGUGAAACAGCAAGUAGAUCAGAUUCAAAUCGAAUUAAAGCGGAUGCAGUGCUUCUUGAAAGACGCAGACAAAAAGCAAAACGAUGAUGAAAGUGUUCAAAAUUGGGUUUCAGAGAUUCGGGAAGCUGCCUACGACGUUCAGGAUGUCAUUGAAACUUUCGCCCUUGAGAUCGCUUCAAAGAACAGAGACAACAACCCAGUCAAGAGAUACGUUCCUAGCUUCAACAACAGCAGAAAGCUUCACAAAGUGGGGUCCAAGAUUGAGUCCAUUAAAACAAAAAUUUCCGAUCUCACUAGAAGCUUACAAACUUAUGGUGUGACUCCCAUGAAAGAAGAGGGUUCGAGUUUAUCUUUGGACAGGCAAAGGCAAUUGAGAUGGUCAUAUUCCCAUAUUGUUGAAGAGUAUAUUGUGGGAUUGGAUGAAAAUAUAAAAGAAGUUGUUGGUCAGUUGGUGAAUGAAGAUAAACAGUGUCAAGUUGUGUCUAUUUGUGGGAUGGGUGGUCUAGGAAAGACCACUCUUGCUAAGAAAGUUUACCAUCACAGUGAUGUUAGGCGUCAUUUUGAUGGUUUCGCUUGGGCUUAUAUAUCCCAGCAAUGCAAAACAAGGGAUGUUUGGGAAGGAAUAUUAAUCAAACUUACCUCUCCAACCAAAGAUGAGAGGGAUCAAAUUUCGAAAAUGAGAGAUGAAGAGGUGGCAAAGAAGCUUAAUCAAGUUCAGAAAGAGAAGAGAUGUUUGGUGAUCCUAGAUGAUAUUUGGAGCACAGAGGCAUGGGAUUUACUUAGUCCUGGCUUCCCAUCAGGACAGGUAAUUAGUAGCAAAAUUCUACUAACAACCCGCAAUCGAGAAGUAGCCUUGCAUGUAGAUCCAAGUGGUUUUCUACAUGAACCGGGGUGUUUAAACGAAGAACAGAGCUGGGAGUUGUUUCAAAAGAAGGCAUUUCAGAGACAAGAUCCAGAAUUCAGAAUUUCCAAAGACAUGGAGAAUAUAGGGAGGGAAAUGGUGGCAAGGUGUGCUGGUUUACCACUGGCAAUUAUUGUGCUUGGAGGACUUUUGGCAACAAAAGAAACAUUGGAUGAAUGGGAUAUUGUGCAUCGAAAUAUAAAGUCACACUUAGGUAGAGGUCGUGGUCAACAAUCAAAAGUUUACGAGGUGUUGGCUUUGAGUUACUUUGAAUUGCCUUACCAAUUGAAACCAUGCUUCCUCUAUCUGAGCCAUUUCCCAGAGGACUUCGAUAUACCAACAAAGAAAUUGGUUCGACUAUGGGUGGCAGAAGGCUUUGUGCCUCUGAAGUAUGAACAAGAGGGAGAUGAAAAGUUGGAAGAUUAUGCAGAACGCUACUUGGUUGAGUUGAUAAAUAGAUGCAUGGUUCAAGUGGGUGUAAUUGGGUCAAAUGGAAGGAUUAAAUCUUGCCGUCUCCAUGAUCUUAUGCGAGACCUAUGCUUGUCAAACGCAAAGCAGGAAAAUUUCCUCCACGUACUAAGUCCUUGGAGUAGAAAUGAGACAGUUGAUUCAUCAACUGGUAGUAUUCGAAGGCUUGCCAUCUAUUCUGAUGUUCCCACAAAUAAUUAUUUCAAAAAGAAUCCCCAGAUCAGGUCCCUUAUAUACUUCAAUGAUAUUAGCGAGCAAAUAGGAAGGAAUCCAGUCAUUGGAUGGACAGUUACCAGAGCAAAUAGGAAGCUUGAUUCAUUUGAGGUUCUUAAGCUUGAAGAAAACUCAUAUACGAGAAUUGCCUUCCUCCAUAGUCAAUUUGGUGUGUUUAGAGACCCUAAAUUUGGAAACCAUUGAAGAACUGAGUUGGGAAUCAACUGUACUAAUACCGACAGUGAUAUGGAAGAUGAAAAAGUUGAGACAUCUAUAUCUUCCAAAGUGGUGUAACUAUUUAACUGAUGAUAAGCUGCAACUAGCAAAACUGAGCAACUUGCAGACGCUAGUGAACUUUCCCACAAACAAAUGUGAUGUAAGAGAACUUCUCAGUUUGACCAAUCUUAAAAAAUUGGUGCUAAAUGACCCGAGAGAUUUCCAAGAGUUUGGGGAAAUCUUCAAUUCUCCUAAUAAAAAAUUAAGCAGCCUUCGGUCCUUGUCCAUGAAGACUGAAAUGCUUUCAUUCCCUGAUAAGGUAGUAGACAUAGAGCAAGUAGUACAAGGCUGUCCUCGUCUUCACAAGCUGCACAUAGAAGGGCGGAUUAACAAACUACCAAAUCACCAGGAAUUUCCUCCAUACCUUGCCAAGUUAACUUUGUGGGGAUCUAGACUUGUGGAAGAUCCAAUGCCAAUACUCGAGAAGCUACCUUACUUGAGGGUCUUAAGAGGAUGGGAAGCCUUCAUUGGAAAGCAAAUGGUUUGUUCUGAAAAAGGGUUUCCUCAACUCAAAUCUUUACUCCUACGGGGCUUGCCUAAUUUACAAGAGUGGAUAGUGGAUGCAGGUGCCAUGCCAAGUCUUUUCCGUUUAGAGAUUACAGAUUGCAACAAGUUGGAGAUGGUUCCAGAUGGAUUGAAAUUUGUCAGCGCACUUCAGGAACUGGAGAUUCGAUGGAUGCCAAGAGCAUUCAAACAUAGGCUUGAAGAAGGAGGAGAGGAUUUCUACAAAGUCCAGCACGUGCCUUCCAUUACUUUUCUGAAUUGAGCUUUGAAUACAAGGGUGAUCAUUUGGUAAAACGCACUCAAAGGUACAUUAAUGGGAGCAACUACUGGAUAGCAAGGUGAAAGAAUGAUUUUGUGCCUGCAAUAAUAUUUGAAGUUUGAAGCUGCGAGGAGUCACCAUAAAGAGAAUCUUGACUCGAUACUUGAUUUAAUUUAUAGUCAUCUAUUGGUUGAUUUGAAGUCACAACUUCAGUUUAAAUCUCACGUGUGUUCGUUUAUGUGUGUUAGCGUGUGUGUAAGAGUUAUUUCCCUAGUAUACUUGAGUUCGAUUCUUUUCUGUGUUAAAGCUUGACAGUAGUCUGUUUAGAUUUCUAUAUGAUGUCAUCUCCGUGUUAUUUAUGCA